GGGUAUAUAGCUCAGUGGUAGAGCACUGUGGCAUGAAGCCCUGGGUUCAAACCCCAGUACCA
rnacentral:tRNA from 1 species